GAUGAACGCUGGCGGCGUGCCUAAUACAUGCAAGUCGAGCGAACAGACGAGGAGCUUGCUCCUCUGACGUUAGCGGCGGACGGGUGAGUAACACGUGGAUAACCUACCUAUAAGACUGGGAUAACUUCGGGAAACCGGAGCUAAUACCGGAUAAUAUAUUGAACCGCAUGGUUCAAUAGUAAAAGACGGUUUUGCUGUCACUUAUAGAUGGAUCCGCGCCGCAUUAGCUAGUUGGUAAGGUAACGGCUUACCAAGGCGACGAUGCGUAGCCGACCUGAGAGGGUGAUCGGCCACACUGGAACUGAGACACGGUCCAGACUCCUACGGGAGGCAGCAGUAGGGAAUCUUCCGCAAUGGGCGAAAGCUUGACGGAGCAACGCCGCGUGAGUGAUGAAGGUCUUCGGAUCGUAAAACUCUGUUAUUAGGGAAGAACAAAUGUGUAAGUAACUAUGCACGUCUUGACGGUACCUAAUCAGAAAGCCACGGCUAACUACGU
rnacentral:rRNA from 1 species